GGGCCGCUAGCUCAGAGGGAGAGCACCUCCUUGACGCGGAGGGGGCCAGAGGUUCAAGUCCUCUGCGGCCCACCA
rnacentral:tRNA from 1 species